UACGGGGGGGGCAAGCGUUGUUCGGAAUUACUGGGCGUAAAGGGCUCGUAGGUGGCCAACUAAGUCAGACGUGAAAUCCCUCGGCUUAGCCGGGGAACUGCGUCUGAUACUGGAUGGCUUGAGUUCGGGAGAGGGAUGCGGAAUUCCAGGUGUAGCGGUGAAAUGCGUAGAUAUCUGGAGGAACACCGGUGGCGAAGGCGGCAUCCUGGACCGACACUGACACUGAGGAGCGAAAGCCAGGGGAGCAAACGGG
rnacentral:rRNA from 1 species